rnacentral:rRNA from 1 species
UACGUAGGGUCCGAGCGUUGUCCGGAAUUAUUGGGCGUAAAGGGCUCGUAGGCGGUUCGUCACGUCGGGGAGUGAAAACUCGGGGCUUAACCCCGAGCCUGCAGUGGAUACGGGCAGACUAGAGGUAGGUAGGGGAGAAUGGAAUUCCUGGUGUAGCGGUGAAAUGCGCAGAUAUCAGGAGGAACACCGGUGGCGAAGGCGGGUCUCUGGGCCGAUACUGACGCUGAGGAGCGAAAGCGUGGGGAGCGAACAGG